rnacentral:misc_RNA from 1 species
GAUGAAGAACGCAGCGAAAUGCGAUAAGUAAUGUGAAUUGCAGAAUUCCGUGAAUCAUCGAAUCUUUGAACGCACAUUGCGCCCCCUGGUAUUCCGGGGGGCAUGCCUGUCCGAGCGUCAUUACAACCCUCAAGCUCAGCUUGGUGUUGGGCCCCGCCGCCCCGGCGGGCCCUGAAGUCAGUGGCGGUGCCGUCCGGCUCCGAGCGUAGUAAUUCUUCUCGCUCUGGAGGUCCGGUCGUGUGCUCGCCAGCAACCCCCAAUUUUUUUCAGGUUGACCUCGGAUCAGGUAGGGAUACCCGCUGAACUUAAGCAUAUCAAUAAGCGGAGGA